CCUAAUAAUUUACUUUCGUUAUGUUGGUGUAUAUCUGGUUUAAUAUUAACGUUGAGUAAGUGAGUUUGUGUAGUUUUAUUUAAGCCAAGUCUAUGUGCUGCUUAUGGGAGUAUUCACGCGUUACAUUUAUAGGCUUUUGACUGUCAUACUCAAAGAUUUAGGACUUCAAAGUAAUGCUCAACAAGGUUGUGAGUAUUAAGUAAGUUUAGCUCCGUAACCCCCCCC
rnacentral:rRNA from 1 species